AANGGCACNNGNNNUCAACNCUANCAAACGCUAUAUACCNGNGANGGCAUGACNGCNANUGCNNNAACNCGACNACGGUGAAGUAGGAAUCGCUAGUAAUCGCAGGUCAGCAUACUGCGGUGAAUACGUUCCCGGGCCUUGUACACACCGCCCGUCACACCAUGGAAGUUGGCCAUGCCCGAAGUCGUUACUCCAACCCUUGUGGAGGAGGACGCCGAAGGUGGGGCUAAUGACUGGGGUGAAGUCGUAACAAGGUAGCCGUACCGGAAGGUGCGGCUGGAUCACCUCCUAACAGGGAGACAACAAAAUGUAAAUAUUAAUUUUGUCACCUUAGGUCGAUCGGUAUCUCAGAUUCUUAUUAUUUAAGAAUUUCAGUUUCUAAGUUUUUUCUAGGUCACACCCAUCACUUUUUCCUGGGCCAUUAGCUCAGGUGGUUAGAGCGCACCCCUGAUAAGGGUGAGGUCCCUGGUUCAAGUCCAGGAUGGCCCAUAUCUCUAUGUUGGGGGUAUAGCUCAGUUGGUAGAGCGCCUGCUUUGCAAGCAGGAUGUCAGCGGUUCGAGUCCGCUUACCUCCACUGAAUACCACCUCUUACAUAUAGUUGAAGUGGGAAAUUGUUUUGAGUCGUGUCCUAAUUUGCUCUGAGCGAAUCUAGCUUCCUAUUUUAUCCAAGAAAUAAGAUGCUGGACUCAUUGAAUUUUUUUUCAUUGUUUUCAGAGAACCUUGACAACUGCAUAGAUUAUUUUUAAAGACAAUAAGCAUCUUUAAUGAUGCAGAUUUAUUAUUUGUGCGAAUGCAUUAAAUAACAAUUCUAUUAAGCUGAUGCUUCAAUUAUUGAAGUUAUUGGUCAAGCUACAAAGGGCUCACGGAGGAUACCUAGGCACACAGAGGCGAUGAAGGACGUGGUUACCUGCGAUAAGUCUCGGGGAGUUGGAAGCACACUUUGAUCCGGGAAUUUCCGAAUGGGGCAACCCCUUGUACGGCCAACUGAAUAUAUAGGUUGGUGCGAGCUAACCCAGCGAACUGAAACAUCUUA
rnacentral:misc_RNA from 1 species